GCUGAGAUGGUUCCUGAAAUAAUUCUGAAAAUUCUUCAAUCAUAGGUUUUAGUUCUUGUGGUAUUGCUCUGACUUCCUUGGAUAUAUUCUCAUCUUGACAUAACUCAAAAUGACAUAAAUAUGCUUCAGUAACAUUGGCAGUGAGAGUUUUAAGCUCAGCUCUAGAUAAAGGUUCAUCUGAAAUUGCAGGUUCACCAACUAAUUUGACUGUAGUACCUUCCCAAUUAAAAGCCAUGAACAUUUCUUCAUAAUUGGACAUGAUAGUUCCUAAAGUUUUCAUCCACUGGAUUCCCAAUAUUACAUUUGAUCCAGCCAUUGACAGCAAGUAUAAAUCUACUGUUAUUAUUAUGCCCUGUACCAGAAUUUUAACAUCUUUGCACAUUGUAUUACAUCCCAACCUUUCACCACUUCCAGUAGAUACAUAGAAUGUUUUGGUGACAUAGAUAGGAAUUCCCAAUGUUUUAGCCACCUCUGUUUGAAUAAAAUUGUGAGUAGAUCCCGUGUCCACUAAUAUACUCACCUUUUUAUUGUUGACAUUGCCCAACAAUCUGAUUGUAUUUGCUCCAAGUUGACCAUUCAAUGCAUUAAUACUUAUUUCAGUGAUUGUUCUUCCUUCUGUAACUACUUCUUCCUCUAUAAAAUAUUCGAACUCAUCCACUACUUCUAUCAUCUCAGACUCAUCUGCCGAUAGUCUAAACAGUUUGGCUUGGCAUUUGUGGCCUGGAGUGAAUUUUUCAUCACAAUUAAAACAUAAGCCUUUCUCUCUUCUUUGCUUUCUCUCUUGAGCUGACAAUCUCUUGAAAAUUGUAGGUUUUGUACCACUAGUAGAUGGUUCUAAUUCUACUAUGUGUACUGAUCUGUUGUUGUUAAGUGGUACUAAUGCCUUUGAAUUUGUGGAAGCCUUGAUUGUGUUGUUUUGCUGUUCUCCUUGAUAUUUGAUAAAUUUCUGGUUUCCUUUAUAAGCUAAACCACUCUGAAAUCUGUUAUGUUUUUCUUCAAUGAGUGUUGCUACAUCCAUUGCCUCUUCUACAUCAUUUGGCUGAGCUUGUAAAACAUCACCUUGAAUUUCUGGAAUUAAUCCUGUGAUAAAAAAUUCCAGUAUUAAGAAAUCUGGUAUCCCUACUACCUUGGUUGCUUGUUCUUCAAAUCUAUUCAUAUAAUCAGUGACAGUGGAGGUCUGAUAUAAUCUAGCCAAUCUCCCUCCUGGUACAGCAAAGGUUUUUGAUGAAAACCUUUUCAAAAUUGAUCUGGUAAAAUUUUUCCAAGUGGUUAGUCUUUUAUUAGACUCCAUCCAUUGGAACCACUUAGAAGCCUUCCCUACCAUGUGAAAAGAAGCUAACAAUAAUUUCUGAUCUUCUGGUGUCUUGUAACAUAAGAAAAACCUUCUGGAUUUAAAUAACCAAUCUUGAGGAUCAGUUCCAUCGAAUUGAGGCAUAUCCAUUUUAAGAUUUUCUGGCAAUAGAUUGUCUGAAUCUUCUAGGAAAGCUGACGCAUAACUUGGACAAUCUAAGUAAUUCUCCUCUUCCUCAUCACUAGACAAUACAUCCUGAGCCCUUGUUUGGAAUGGUUUUGAAUUUCCAGUCUGAUAACCUGAAGAUACCUUCCUUGAUAUUUCCGCUACUGCUUUGGAAAUCUCCCUGAUCAUUUUGUUAAAUUCAUCUUUAUUCCUGUCCAUGGAUUCCUGUAUUUUACUUCCAAACUGCCUAUUUUGAUCUUGAAUGUCUGCAAUCUGCUUCACUUGAGAAAUCUGUAAAUUCUUAAGAGUGUUGAAUUGACUUUGCAAUUCCGAUGUCUCUGUCAUCCUUCCUGAAAUUUAAUGAGUAAUACGAAAUGAAAGCACCAGUUGAUAGGUUGAAAUCCCUAUCGUAAGUCUCUUGCCAAGAUAUCCGAUGAAUUCAAUUGAAUUCCCACAAUCACACGCAAUUUAAUUCAAGAUAUUUGUAAACAGAAACUCAUAAAAGAAUUAUCACUAUUGUAUGAGUUUGAGGAUCGAGUUGACCUGAACUACUGAUUAACGUCUCCGAUCAACGUGAUCGGAAAACGAUCAGUAAUCGAGACGGAUGCCGACUCUGUUGAGAAGCAAUGCCUCGAUGAAACUCCGGAGUGCAGAAU
rnacentral:lncRNA from 1 species